rnacentral:rRNA from 1 species
UCCCGGCACGGGGAGGUAGUGACGAAAAAUAACGAUACGGGACUCAUCCGAGGCCCCGUAAUCGGAAUGAGCACACUUUAAAGACUUUAACGAGUAUCCAUUGGAGGGCAAGUCUGGUGCCAGCAGCCGCGGUAAUUCCAGCUCCAAUAGCGUAUAUUAAAGUUGCUGCGGUUAAAAAGCUCGUAGUUGGACUUGUGUCCCGCGCUGUCGGUUCACCGUUCGUCGGUGUCUAACUGGCAUGCCGCGCGGACGUCCUGCUGGUGGAUGCGGUCGGCCGCGGGCUUCUGGCUCGCGCGUCGGCGGUCCGGUGCAAUCCUACCGCGGUGCUCUUCACCGAGUGUCGAGGUGGGCCAGCACGUUUACUUUGAACAAAUUAGAGUGCUUAAAGCAGGCAUGGGUUCGCCUGAAUACUGUGUGCAUGGAAUAAUGGAAUAGGACCUCGGUUCUAUUUCGUUGGUUUCCGGAACCCGAGGUAAUGAUUAAUAGGGACAGACGGGGGCAUUCGUAUUGCGACGUUAGAGGUGAAAUUCUUGGAUCGUCGCAAGACGAACCUAAGCGAAAGCAUUUGCCAUGAGUGUUUUCAUUAAUCAAGAACGAAAGUUAGAGGUUCGAAGGCGAUCAGAUACCGCCCUAGUUCUAACCAUAAACGAUGCCGCCAGCGAUCCGCCACNUUCCUAANAUGACUCGGCGGGCAGCCCCCGGGAAACCAAAGCUUUUGGGUUCCGGGGGAAGUAUGGUUGCAAAGCUGAAACUUAAAGGAAUUGACGGAAGGGCACCACCAGCAGUGGAGCCUGCGGCUUAAUUUGACUCAACACGGGAAACCUCACCAGGCCCGGACACCGGANGGAUUGACAGAUUGAGAGCUCUUUCUUGAUUCGGUGGGUGGUGGUGCAUGGCCGUUCUUA